ACUUGGAGAUGUUUCGUCUAGGGCGCGGUUACAGCCACUACUCUACAGCUGGCGACAGCGUUUUUUCUUUUGAAAGGUGUUUCUUUCCAGGGGUGCGUCCGCCAAGCGACACUAUCCAACUGGAAGCCCGCAAGCACCAGCAACGUCCUCUGUAGAGCGCAAUCACGAAACCUGCACAGGAUCACACGUGGGCGGUACCAGCUUCGCUGUCAAUGCUCCUCGAGAAAAUGCUCUGCAGCGGGAUAUAACGCGCUGCCUGGCCGAACUGUAGGCCGAAGCUCACCAGCCCGUUUCCGUGACUAUAAUAUAUCGUAUCGAGGUUUCGCGUCGUAGCGCUUUGUAUACCGACGGUUAAAUAGAGUGUGGAGGCAAACGACGAACGCUUAUCUCGCACGUACGCAGCACAAGUUAAACUAACUCAGACGAUACCGCUUGCAGACGAUUCGACGGCGCCUGGCUCAUCACUGUGCAAUUCGUCGUGGCAGACCCCUCUGACGCUCGGAGUACUUUGGUCGGCAAAGAUAUUGGCUAAAGAGGUUUGUGUACUUGCUGCUGGGAACUCCUUCUGUUCCAGGCCUGGUACGAGCGCCAACUCCGGGAGAUCGUUUACGAGCAUCCAACUUUGCCGGACGUUGGUGAUGCGGGCGGGCGGUGGUAGCAAGUCGAGGCGCUAGCGCCGCGCUUCUAAGGCGUCACGAGCGAGCAAGCAGUGAAGCUUCGAAGUAUACGGUGCCACGUACGGCAAAGAGCGUUGUCCCCCACGUAAUCCUGACCGUUUAUCUUACGCAAACGCGUCGGUAACCAUUCCUUGCUUUCCCAACAUUGAAUCUAUCAACUGUUUCACCUGUGCGCACUACUUGUUCACGAACUUAGAGUGAAAUCCGCCUCGCACGAAGCCAUUCGGAUGAACCAUGCUACCUGUGCUCCGCCAGCGAUGAGGACGCGGGUCUGCGCUCAUCCGUCGUGUUUUGUACUAGCUGAAGGACUUCAAUAGUACCAGUGCAUGAGAGCAUUGACAGCAAGUCUGAGAAUACGUCGCCACCGCAGUGCAAGCACGGUACAAGCACACACGCACAUGAAACCGCUACUAUAUCCAUCUCUCUCGGAGCAAGCAUCAUCGGCCGAGUCACUAUUUCGAUCGAUCUAAUAGUUCACAUCUUCUACGGUUUCCAUUCCACACAGGAUUCACAUUUCGAUAUUCUGUUUGCUGCUUAUUUUAGCAACGCAACAGAACAAGUCGCUGUCGCAGAAUAGCCCCAAUCUGACCACUGCGCAUCUGGUUCGGUCGCUGACGUUCCCUCACGGACGCAAAGCGGAACUAUGGCAACAAUGUGUAUCGAAUGCUACAAAGAAAGCGGAUAUACACGGAGAGCAGCUCGAAAGGUGCGAAACGAAGCAUACAGACUGCGAGUUUUUCCAAGCUCCAUCAUGAAUGUGGCAUUUGCUAAAAGAACCUCCCCAAUACCGUGACAUUGUAAACGGAGCGCACC